rnacentral:rRNA from 1 species
GGGUUGUGAGGUUAAGCGACCAAGCGUACACGGUGGAUGCCCUGGCAGUCAGAGGCGAUGAAGGACGUGCUAAUCUGCGAAAAGCGCCGGUAAGGUGAUAUGAACCGCUACAGCCGGCGAUGUCCGAAUGGGGAAACCCAGUGUGAUUCGUCACACUAUCGUUAAGUGAAUCCAUAGCUUAACGAGGCGAACCGGGGGAACUGAAACAUCUAAGUACCCCGAGGAAAAGAAAUCAACCGAGAUUCCCCCAGUAGCGGCGAGCGAACGGGGAGCAGCCCAGAGCCUGCAUCAGCUUGUGUGUUAGUGGAAGCGUCUGGAAAGGCGCACGGUACAGGGUGACAGUCCCGUACACAAAAACACACAGGCUGUGAGCUCGAUGAGUAGGGCGGGACACGUGGUAUCCUGUCUGAAUAUGGGGGGACCAUCCUCCAAGGCUAAAUACUCCUGACUGACCGAUAGUGAACCAGUACCGUGAGGGAAAGGCGAAAAGAACCCCGGCGAGGGGAGUGAAACAGAACCUGAAACCGUGUACGUACAAGCAGUGGGAGCACCUUCGUGGUGUGACUGCGUACCUUUUGUAUAAUGGGUCAGCGACUUAUAUUCUGUAGCAAGGUUAACCGCAUAGGGGAGCCGAAGGGAAACCGAGUCUUAACCGGGCGCUAAGUUGCAGGGUAUAGACCCGAAACCCGGUGAUCUAGCCAUGGGCAGGUUGAAGGUUGGGUAACACUAACUGGAGGACCGAACCGACUAAUGUUGAAAAAUUAGCGGAUGACCUGUGGCUGGGGGUGAAAGGCCAAUCAAACCGGGAGAUAGCUGGUUCUCCCCGAAAGCUAUUUAGGUAGCGCCUCGUGAACUCAUCUCCGGGGGUAGAGCACUGUUUCGGCUAGGGGGCCAUCCCGGCUUACCAACCCGAUGCAAACUGCGAAUACCGGAGAAUGUUAUCACGGGAGACACACGGCGGGUGCUAACGUCCGUCGUGAAGAGGGAAACAACCCAGACCGCCAGCUAAGGUCCCAAAGUCAUGGUUAAGUGGGAAACGAUGUGGGAAGGCCCAGACAGCCAGGAUGUUGGCUUAGAAGCAGCCAUCAUUUAAAGAAAGCGUAAUAGCUCACUGGUCGAGUCGGCCUGCGCGGAAGAUGUAACGGGGCUAAACCAUGCACCGAAGCUGCGGCAGCGACACGUAAGUGUCGUUGGGUAGGGGAGCGUUCUGUAAGCCGUUGAAGGUGUGCUGUGAGGCANNNCAUGCACCGAAGCUGCGGCAGCGAACGUGAGUUCGUUGGGUAGGGGAGCGUUCUGUAAGCCGUUGAAGGUGUGCUGUGAGGCAUGCUGGAGGUAUCAGAAGUGCGAAUGCUGACAUAAGUAACGAUAAAGCGGGUGAAAAGCCCGCUCGCCGGAAGACCAAGGGUUCCUGUCCAACGUUAAUCGGGGCAGGGUGAGUCGACCCCUAAGGCGAGGCCGAAAGGCGUAGUCGAUGGGAAACGGGUUAAUAUUCCCGUACUCGGCGUUACUGCGAAGGGGGGACGGAGAAGGCUAUGUUGGCCGGGCGACGGUUGUCCCGGUUUAAGCGUGUAGGCUGAGCAUCCAGGCAAAUCCGGAUGCUUAAGGCUGAGGCGUGACGACGAGGCGCUACGGCGCUGAAGCAACAAAUGCCCUGCUUCCAGGAAAAGCCUCUAAGCAUCAGGUAACGUCGAAUCGUACCCCAAACCGACACAGGUGGUCAGGUAGAGAAUACCAAGGCGCUUGAGAGAACUCGGGUGAAGGAACUAGGCAAAAUGGUGCCGUAACUUCGGGAGAAGGCACGCUGGCGCGUAGGUGAGGGGACUUGCUCCCGGAGCCGAGGCCAGUCGAAGAUACCAGCUGGCUGCAACUGUUUAUUAAAAACACAGCACUGUGCAAACACGAAAGUGGACGUAUACGGUGUGACGCCUGCCCGGUGCCGGAAGGUUAAUUGAUGGGGUCAGCCGCAAGGCGAAGCUCCUGAUCGAAGCCCCGGUAAACGGCGGCCGUAACUAUAACGGUCCUAAGGUAGCGAAAUUCCUUGUCGGGUAAGUUCCGACCUGCACGAAUGGCGUAAUGAUGGCCAGGCUGUCUCCACCCGAGACUCAGUGAAAUUGAACUCGCUGUGAAGAUGCAGUGUACCCGCGGCAAGACGGAAAGACCCCGUGAACCUUUACUACAGCUUGACACUGAACACCGGUCCUUGAUGUGCAGGAUAGGUGGGAGGCUUCGAAGCGCGGACGCCAGUCCGCGUGGAGCCGCCCUUGAAAUACCACCCUUUAAUGGCUGGUGUUCUAACGUUGGCCCGUAAUCCGGGCUGCGGACAGUGUCUGGUGGGUAGUUUGACUGGGGCGGUCUCCUCCCAAAGCGUAACGGAGGAGUACGAAGGUCAGCUAAUCACGGUCGGACAUCGUGAGGUUAGUGCAAUGGCAUAAGCUGGCUUGACUGCGAGCGUGACGGCGCGAGCAGGUGCGAAAGCAGGUCAUAGUGAUCCGGUGGUUCUGAAUGGAAGGGCCAUCGCUCAACGGAUAAAAGGUACUCCGGGGAUAACAGGCUGAUACCGCCCAAGAGUUCAUAUCGACGGCGGUGUUUGGCACCUCGAUGUCGGCUCAUCACAUCCUGGGGCUGAAGUAGGUCCCAAGGGUAUGGCUGUUCGCCAUUUAAAGUGGUACGCGAGCUGGGUUUAGAACGUCGUGAGACAGUUCGGUCCCUAUCUGCCGUGGGCGCUGGAAGACUGAGAGGGGUUGCUCCUAGUACGAGAGGACCGGAGUGAACGCACCGCUGGUGUUCGGGUUGUCAUGCCAAUGGCACUGCCCGGUAGCUACGUGCGGAAGAGAUAAGUGCUGAAAGCAUCUAAGCACGAAACUUGCCUCGAGAUGAGUCUUCCCUGAGGCCUUUGAGCCUCCUGAAGGGACGUUGAAGACGACGACGUUGAUAGGCCGGGUGUGUAAGCGCAGCGAUGCGUUGAGCUGACCGGUACUAAUGACCCGUGAGGCUUAACCUUACAACGCCGGAAGCGUUUUG